rnacentral:misc_RNA from 1 species
AAGUCGUAACAAGGUUUCCGUAGGUGAACCUGCGGAAGGAUCAUUCAUAAUUGAGUGUUUUAUGGCACUCUUUAAAAAAAUCCAUAUCCACCUUGUGUGCAAUGUUUUUGGACUCUCUGUACGUUGAUAUCUCUUUGGGUCCGAUAGGACUUUAGGGGAAGGAAAACCUUAAGAGGGUUUGAUUAACUUAACACCUUUAAAGCAGUUUGUCUGAAUAUCUAUUUCUGAAUAAACAUAAUUCAAAAAUACAACUUUCAACAACGGAUCUCUUGGCUCUC